rnacentral:rRNA from 1 species
UGGUGGUCAACAGAGGGAAGCAAGACCGCGAGGUGGAGCAAAUCCCUAAAAGCCAUCCCCGUUCGGAUUGCAGGCUGCAACCCGCCUGUAUGAAGUUGGAAUCGCUAGUAAUCGCGGAUCAGCAUGCCGCGGUGAAUACGUUCCCGGGCCUUGUACACACCGCCCGUCACACCAUGAGAGUCGGGAACACCCGAAGUCCGUAGCCUAACCGCAAGGGGGGCGCGGCCGAAGGUGGGUUCGAUAAUUGGGGUGAAGUCGUAACAAGGUAAC